rnacentral:rRNA from 1 species
UACGUAGGGGGCUAGCGUUGUCCGGAAUCAUUGGGCGUAAAGGGCGCGUAGGCGGCUUCUCAAGCGUGCGGUGAAAGUCAGGGGCUCAACCCCUGAUCGGCCGUGCGAACUGGGGGGCUGGAGCACUGUAGAGGCAGGCGGAAUUCCGGGUGUAGCGGUGGAAUGCGUAGAGAUCCGGAAGAACACCGGUGGCGAAGGCGGCCUGCUGGGCAGUGGCUGACGCUGAGGCGCGACAGCGUGGGGAGCAAACAGG